rnacentral:lncRNA from 1 species
GUGGCCACAUCAGAGACGUUGGUGGCCACGGGGGUGGCUCCAGCGUUGAUACUGGUGACACUGGUGGCCACAGCGCGGACGGUGGUGGCCACAGCAGGGAGGUUGGUGGCCACAGCGGGGACGUUGGUGGCCACGGAGGUGGCACCGGUAGCUCCAGCGUUGAUACUGGUGACACUGGUGGCCACGGUGGGGACGCUGGUGGCCACCGCAGAGAGGUUGGUGGCCCUGGGGCCACUGGUCAAACUGGUGGCCACGGUGGGGACGUUGGUGGCCUUGGGAGCGACGGCGACGCUGGUGGCCACUGGGGUGACGCUGGUGGCCACGGUGGCUGCAGGGGUGGCCUUGGGAGCGCUGGUGGCCACGGAGGGGACACUGGUGGCCACGGGGGUGACGGUGACACCGGCCGGAGCGGUGGCCUUAACGCUGGUGGCCACGGAGGGGACACUGGUGGCCACAGCGCGGACGGUGGUGGCCACAGCAGGGAGGUUGGUGGCCACAGCGGGGACGUUGGUGGCCACGGAGGUGGCACCGGUAGCUCCAGCGUUGAUACUGGUGACACUGGUGGCCACGGUGGGGACGCUGGUGGCCACCGCAGAGAGGUUGGUGGCCCUGGGGCCACUGGUCAAACUGGUGGCCACGGUGGGGACGUUGGUGGCCUUGGGAGCGACGGCGACGCUGGUGGCCACUGGGGUGACGCUGGUGGCCACGGUGGCUGCAGGGGUGGCCUUGGGAGCGCUGGUGGCCACGGAGGGGACACUGGUGGCCACGGGGGUGGCGUUGGUAGCCCUGGGGCCAUCCCUGGGACCAGUCACAGCGGUGGCCACCGCAGGGGGGAUGGUGGCCACGCUGGCCUUGGGGGUGACGUUGGUGGCCACGCUGGCCUUGGUGGCCCCCAUGGCAGCAGUGAUGGCCCCCGGGGUGAGGUUGGUGGCCACGGGGGGCUUGGUGGCCCCUGGGGUGACGACGGUGGCCACGGUGGCCCCUGGGGUGGCUUUGGUGGCCCCGGGGGUGACAACAGUGGCCCCCGGGGUGGCUUUGGUGGCCACUGGGGUGACAGAGUCCACGGCGACCCCUGCGGUGGCUUUGGUGGCCACUGGGGUGAGGGUGGUGGCCACGGUGGCGUUGGUGGCCCCCAGGGUGGCGUUGGUGGCCACGGUGGCUUUGGUGGCCCCUGGGGUGACAACGGUGGCCACGGUGGAGUUAGUAGCCCCCACGGAGACGUUGGUGGCCCCCGGGGUGACAACGGUGGCCACGGAGACGUUGGUGGCCCCCGGGGUGGCGUUGGUGGCCACGGAGACGUUGGUGGCCCCCAUGGAGACGUUGGUGGCCACGGAGACGUUGGUGGCCCCCGGGGUGACGUUGGUGGCCCCCGGGGUGCCAGCGACAGCGGUGGCCUUGGGGGUGACAUUAGUGGCCACGGGGGCGCCGCUGGUGGCCACGGGGGCGCCGCCGUCCACGGUGGCCUUGGGGGUGACGUUAGUAGCCACAGGGGUGACGUUAGUAGCCCGGGGGGCGCCGCCGGUAGCCACAGCGACCUUGGUGGCCCCCGGGGUGGCCGGGGGGGCCUUGGUGAGGUUGGUGGCCACAGGGGAGGGGCNNNNNNNNNNNNNNNNNNNNNNNNNNNNNNNNNNNNNNNNNNNNNNNGAUGUGACGGGGGAGGGCGGGGCCGGCGGCUUCGAGGGCGUGGCUGCGGGUGAUGACGUCACCGAUGAUGUCAUCGAUGAGGUUGACGUCACGGAUGAUGUCAGGGAUGACGUCACGGAUGGUGACGUCCCGGGUGAUGUCACCGAUGAUGUCACCGCCGGCCCCGAUGAGGUCACCGAGGGCUUUGACGUCACUGAUGACGUCAUCGGCGGCCCCGCUGAGGUCUUUGACGCCGCUGCUGAUGUCAUCAAUGACGUCACUGACGGCCCUGCUGAGGUCACUGCGGGCUUUGACGUCGCUGCUGAUGUCAUCGCCGGCCCCGAUGAGGUCACCGCCGCCUUGGACGCUGCUGCUGAUGUCAUCGAUGACGUCACCGCCGCCCCUGGUGAUGUCACUGCUGCCUUCGACGCCGCUGAUGUCACCGCCGGCCCUGGUGACGUCACCGAGGGCUUCGACGUCACCGAUGAUGUCACUGAUGACCCCGCUGAGGUCACCGCGGCCUUGGACGGCGCCGAUGACGUCGUAGACGGCGCCGAUGACGUCACUGGCGUCUUCGAUGACGUCACGGGCGACGCCCCCGCGGGCCCUGAUGAUGUCACCGCCGUCGACGCCUUCGGUGACGUCACGGGGGGCGCUGACGUCAUCGUCGACGUCAUCGUUGACGUUGUCGUCGCCGUCGUUGUUGAUGAUGUCAUCGGGGGGGUCGAUGAUGUCAUCGGGGAGGCGGAUGAUGUCAUCGGGGGGGUCGCUGACGUCACGGCCUUGCCGUCGGGCCCCGCCCCCGCCCCGGUAGCCCCCCUGGGGGGGUCGGUCGCCCCCUGGUUUCCGGUUCCCCCCCCCUCGGUGCCGGGCGGGGCGGG